AUUGAACGCUGGCGGCGUGCCUUACACAUGCAAGUCGAACGGCAGCGGGGGAGAAGCUUGCUUUUCCUGCUGGCGAGUGGCGAACGGGUGAGUAAUACAUCGGAACGUGCCCUGUAGUGGGGGAUAACUAGUCGAAAGAUUAGCUAAUACCGCAUACGACCUGAGGGUGAAAGUGGGGGACCGCAAGGCCUCAUGCUAUAGGAGCGGCCGAUGUCUGAUUGGCUAGUUGGGGGGGUAAAGGCCUACCAAGGCGACGAUCAGUAGCUGGUCUGAGAGGACGAUCAGCCACACUGGGACUGAGACACGGCCCAGACUCCUACGGGAGGCAGCAGUGGGGAAUUUUAGACAAUGGGCGAAAGCCUGAUCCAGCAAUGCCGCGUGUGUGAAGAAGGCCUUCGGGUUGUAAAGCACUUUUGUCCGGAAAGAAAUGGCUCUGGUUAAUACCUGGGGUCGAUGACGGUACCGGAAGAAUAAGGACCGGCUAACUACGUGCCAGCCGCCGCGGUAA
rnacentral:rRNA from 1 species